GUAAAAGAUCUCCAAGUCUCAAGGGAAGGGGUUCGAGAAAACCGACGACGAGGAGAGGAGAGCGGCGGCGGCGACCGUUGCUUGGUCCUCUGCGAGCGGCAUCUCAGUUAGGAGGACCUCGCCAGCCAUUGCCGCCUCGACCUUGGCCUCGGAAUUCAGUUCCUCUCCUUCCACCACGUUAGCUGUCCAACCUUGGAAACAGUUUUCAUUCUGGGCGUGAAUGGAAGACAUAAAGUAUUUGGACAAUCUCAAUGCAGUGAAAUAGUUAUGCAAGCAGGGUGUAGCUCCCGUUACUUUGGCAUCCCAACUUCUGAUAAUUGUUUUUCAGCAUGUCAUUUUUUCGUGGAGUGAAAAUAUUAGUUGGGAGAGAUCCGUUCAUAUCUUCUUUUCCCCUCUCUGUAUACAUGUAUUUGUAAUUAACUUGACAAACUAUUUUCUUGAUUGUUCCAAUGGAUAUGGACCUUGAUUUAGAGUUUGAUGAAUUGCUAGAUUUAUAAUCAUUA